GGAUGUGAGGGCAAUCUGGCUACUACAUCUAUUACCCCAUUGAUUUCCAGAGUUGAUUAGGCUGAUCUGGCUGGUGAGGCAGGCAUUCGCUUCCUUCAUCACUGUUCCCUGUGCAUUCUUUCAGAAGCUGGACACUUAGUAAAGAGGAUAACCUUCCCCUAAGAGGAAGCCCAUUCUUCAUCAAGGGCGUAUGAGUAGCUGUGCUCCCCUUAGAAUUUUUAACAUAGAAUUAUAGAUUUUUAACAUAGAAUCCUAGCCUCACUGCAAAACUUGACCAGUGUUGAGAUUAGGGGUUGUCUCU
rnacentral:snRNA from 1 species